rnacentral:rRNA from 1 species
UACGAAGGGUGCAAGCGUUAUUCGGAUUUAUUGGGUGUAAAGGGUGUGUAGACGGUAUGUUAAGUCCGCUGUUAAAUUUCCCGGCCUAACUGGGAACCAGCGGUGGAUACUGACGUGCUAGAGGAUGGAAGAGAGAAGUGGAAUUCCCGGAGUAGCGGUAAAAUGCGUAGAUCUCGGGAGGAACACCAAUGGCGAAGGCAGCUUCUUGGUCCAUAUCUGACGUUGAGACACGAAAGCGUGGGGAGCAAACGGG